rnacentral:lncRNA from 1 species
UGUUUCCAUCUGUGCUGGCCCCAUCCCAUGGGCUCCAGGUCCACGAUGUACCAUGAGCAGGAUGUCUCCAGUGGCAAGACCCUGAGUCACGUCAAACCCACCUUAUCCCAAAUACAAUUCCUGUCAUACUGCCAGAGCCCUGAGAGCGACUUGGACUGAAUCCUUUUCCUCUCCAGUUUGAGACCCACUACAUUAGGGGUUGGCAAACAUUUUCCUUUAAAGAGCCAGAUAGUAAAUAUUUUAGGUUUUGUGAGCCAUAGGUCUCUGUGCCAACUAUUCAACUCGGCCAUAGACGAUACAUAGAUGGAUGGGCGUGGCUGUGUUCCAAUAAAACUUUAUUUACAAAAAUAGAUGGUGGAACUGAAUGUGGCCCACACCCUACAAUUUGCCAAUGCCUGCACCAGACAGUGAGUUUAGAGAGUGGAACUGUAUCUGUUUUGUUUGCUACUGUCAGAAAUCAGCAAAGUGUGUAUUAUAAAAUCAUCACUUGGUAAACACUGAUUAAGUGCAUAAAUCAAUGAAUACUUACAAUGGACACUGACAUUCAAGGUUUCUU